rnacentral:lncRNA from 1 species
AUCCUUUCCUCUUUCUUUUCUUGGCUCAUCUUUGGAGAAUGGCUUUCUCUUGAAGUUUUGCCUUUUUUUUUUUAUGAAUAUUCUAAACUUCUUUGUUAUAAGGGCCAUCUCCUCAUCUUCAUCUUCUUCUUCUGAGUCUUCACUCUCCUCAUCUUCUUUUGCAAUUGACUUGAAAGUGAUUGUUUUUCUUUUCUUAGCCUUUUUUUCAAUGUUUUGCUUCAUAGUUAACUCAUGAGUUAUGAG